rnacentral:rRNA from 1 species
GACGAACGCUGGCGGCGUGCCUAAUACAUGCAAGUCGAACGCUUUUUCUUUCACCGGAGCUUGCUCCACCGAAAGAAAAAGAGUGGCGAGCGGGUGAGUAACACGUGGGUAACCUGCCCAUCAGAAGGGGAUAACACUUGGAAACAGGUGCUAAUACCGUAUAACACUAUUUUCCGCAUGGAAGAAAGUUGAAAGGCGCUUUUGCGUCACUGAUGGAUGGACCCGCGGUGCAUUAGCUAGUUGGUGAGGUAACGGCUCACCAAGGCAACGAUGCAUAGCCGACCUGAGGGGGGGAUCGGCCACACGGGGACUGAGACACGGCCCAGACGCCUACGGGAGGCAGCAGUAGGGAAUCUUCGGCAAUGGACGAAAGUCUGACCGAGCAACGCCGCGUGAGUGAAGAAGGUUUUCGGAUCGUAAAACUCUGUUGUUAGAGAAGAACAAGGAUGAGAGUAGAACGUUCAUCCCUUGACGGUAUCUAACCAGAAAGCCACGGCUAACUACGUGCCAGCAGCCGCCGUAA